GCCUGAAUAGCUGGCUCAAUUGGUUAGCGUGUGGUGCUUGUAACGGCAAGGUCACAGGUUUGAUCCUUGAAUGGGGCA